rnacentral:tRNA from 1 species
GCGCCUCUGGCGGAAUUGGCAGACGUAGCGAACUUAAAAUUCGCGGUCGUAAGACAUUGAGGGUUCGAGUCCCUCGUUGUGAA